rnacentral:rRNA from 1 species
GACAGAGGUGCCGAGCGUUAGGCGAAAUCACUGGGCUUAAAGCGUGUGUAGGCGGAUCGUUAAGUACCUUGUGAAAUCCCACGGCUUAACCGUGGAACUGCUUGGUAUACUGGCGAUCUUGAGCCACCUAGGGGCAACCGGAACAAAUGGUGGAGCGGUGAAAUGCGUAGAUAUCAGGAGGAACACCGGUGGCGAAGGCGGAUCUCUGGGCCUUACCUGACGCUCAGGCGCGAAAGCUAGGGGAGCGAACUGG